CAAUAGCGUAUAUUAAAGUUGUUGCAGUUAGAACGCUCGUAGUCGGAUUUCGGGGCGGGCCGACCGGUCUGCCGAUGGGUACGCACUGGUCGGCGCGUCCUUCCUUCCGGAGACCGUGCCUACUCUUAACUGAGCGGGGGCGGGAGACGGAUCGUUUACUUUGAAAAAAUCAGAGUGUUUCAAGCAGGCAGCUCGCUCUUGCAUGGAUUAGCAUGGGAUAAUGAAAUAGGACUUUGGUGCUAUUUUGUUGGUUUCGAACACCGAAGUAAUGAUUAAAAGGGACAGUCAGGGGCACUCGUAUUCCGCCGAGAGAGGUGAAAUUCUCAGACCAGCGGAAGACGAACCACUGCGAANGNAUUUGCNAGGGAUGUUUNCACUG
rnacentral:rRNA from 1 species